GACGAACGCUGGCGGCGUGCUUAACACAUGCAAGUCGAACGAAGUGGCGAACAGGUGAGUAACGCGUAAUCAACCUGCCCUUCAGAGGGUGCUAACAGUUGGAAACGACUGCUAAUAACGCAUACUGAGGGCGGGGAUUGCGUCGGAUUAGCUAGUUGGAGGGUUAACGGCCCACCAAGGCGAUGAUCAGUAGCAGGUCUGAGAUGAUGAAUGGCCACAUGGGGCCUGAGACGCGGCCCAGACGCCUACGGUAGGCAGCAGUGGGGAAUCUUCCGCAAUGGAAGAAAGUCGGCAGGAGCAAUGCCGAGUGAGUGAUGACGGCCUUCGGGUUGUAAAGCUCUGUUAAUCGGGACGCGGUACCGGAAUAGAAAGCCACGGCUAACUACGUGCCAGCAGCCGCGGUAAUUC
rnacentral:rRNA from 1 species